GCCGCGAAAAUUCUACACUCAAAAAUGGUGCCUCGCACAAAAACCCCCAUGGCCAUUUUCAAAAGUUGGCAGGUAUGAAUGCCUAAAUAAUAAAAGAAAAAAAAAAAACAGUUGAAAAAUAAAAGAAUUCAAAUUUCAGAAUAUUUUUAAUUGGUAAAUUGAACUAAAGUGACAUUUAUACAGCAAAAAGAAAUAUAUAUAGUACACAUAUAAUCUAU
rnacentral:lncRNA from 1 species